CCCUGACAGCUAACUUUCUGUAGCUGACAUUAGCCACGACAGGAGAUUCAAAUG
rnacentral:ncRNA from 1 species